AGCGAACGCUGGCGGCAGGCCUAACACAUGCAAGUCGAGCGCCCCGCAAGGGGAGCGGCAGACGGGAGAGUAACACGUGGGAACGUACCCUUUGGUUCGGAACAACCCAGGGAAACUUGGGCUAAUACCGGAUAAGCCCUUACGGGGAAAGAUUCAUCGCCGAAGGAUCGGCCCGCGUCUGAUUAGCUAGUUGGUGGGGUAACGGCCCACCAAGGCGACGAUCAGUAGCUGGUCUGAGAGGAUGAUCAACCUCACUGGGACUGAGACACGGCCCAGACUCCUACGGGAGGCAGCAGUGGGGAAUAUUGGACAAUGGGCGCAAGCCUGAUCCAGCCAUGCCGCGUGGGUGAUGGAGGCCCUAGGGUUGUAAAGCCCUUUCGGCGGGGAAGAUAAUGACGGUACCCGCAGAAGAAGCCCCGGCUAACUUCGUGCCAGCAGCCGCAGUAACAC
rnacentral:rRNA from 1 species